UGGGGAAUCUUGGACAAUGGGCGCAAGCCUGAUCCAGCCAUGCCGCGUGGAUGAUGAAGGCCUUAGGGUUAUAAAAUCCUUUCGUGGGGGACGAUAAUGACGGUACCCCAAGAAGAAGCUCCGGCUAACUUCGUGCCAGCAGCCGCGGUAAUACGAAGGGGGCUAGCGUUGUUCGGAUUUACUGGGCGUAAAGCGCGCGUAGGUGGUUUGUUAAGUUGGAUGUGAAAUCCCCGGGCUCAACCUGGGAACUGCAUCCAAAACUGGCAAGCUAGAGUAUGGUAGAGGGUGGUGGAAUUUCCUGUGUAGCGGUGAAAUGCGUAGAUAUAGGAAGGAACACCAGUGGCGAAGGCGACCACCUGGACUGAUACUGACACUGAGGUGCGAAAGCGUGGGGAGCAAACAGGAUUAGAUACCCAAGUAGUCCCUGAGCGGGCUGGCAAGGCGCAU
rnacentral:rRNA from 1 species